UACGUAGGAGGCAAGCGUUGUCCGGAUUUAUUGGGCGUAAAGAGCGUGUAGGCGGCCAGGUAGGUCUGCUGUGAAAACUCGAGGCUUAACCUCGAGCUGUCGGCGGAAACCAUCUGGCUAGAGUCCGGAAGAGGAGAAUGGAAUUCCCGGUGUAGCGGUGAAAUGCGCAGAUAUCGGGAAGAACACCCGUGGCGAAGGCGGUUCUCUGGGACGGUACUGACGCUGAGACGCGAAAGCGUGGGGAGCGAACAGG
rnacentral:rRNA from 1 species